rnacentral:rRNA from 1 species
UACAGGAUGGACCCGCGUCUGAUUAGCUAGUUGGUAAGGUAACGGCUUACCAAGGCGACGAUCAGUAGCCGACCUGCGAGGGUGAUCGGCCACAUUGGAACUGAGACACGGUCCAAACUCCUACGGGCGGCAGCAGUGGGGAAUAUUGCACAAUGGGCGAAAGCCUGAUGCAGCAACGCCGCGUGAGUGAUGAAGGCCUUCGGG